rnacentral:lncRNA from 1 species
CAGUGUCAUCCGCCCGACCCUCACCUCGGUGUCUCUCAGCAGCACUACCACAAUCCUCAUCGGCACCUCCGGUCCCGCCUCCCUGCCCGGAAAUGCGUCCGCAGCUGUGUGCAAUGCCGUGUUUGACAUUGCGCUUAAGAAUGGCACUGUCCUGCCCGGCGCGCUGUCGGCCUGCUCUGUGGGCCCCGGCGUGACGGCCAUCACCGCCGCCCUAGCCAACGGCACCGCUUACUCGGACGGCAUGACGGUCACGCUCAAGGCCAACCAGACCGCGCUCAAGGCCGGAGACCAGACCGCCGCCGCGCCCCUGUUCGUGCCGCCCACCGCCGCCCUGGCCAUUGCCCCCACCAUCCUGUCUGCGUCGCUGACUGCUGCCGACACCAUCACCGUGGUCCUGCCCGUCGCCAGCUCGCUUGACACGUCGGCCUGCAACAGCGCCUUUGAGCUCCGCGCGGCCGCCUCCUCCACCGCCAAGUCCAGCCCCUUCUCAGCCUGCUCCCUGGCCGUGAACAACACGCAGGCGGUGCUGACCCUGGCCUCCGCCUCCACCUACACCUCGGGCGACAUCCUGGACAUCAAGAGCGGCAACGACAAGCUGCUCGCAGGCAGCACCGCCUACGUGCCCCAGUCGGUCACCGUGCUGCCGACCAUCACCACCGCCACCCUGGUCAGCUCCACGGUCGUGCGCGUGGCUCUGCCCGUCGUGUCCUCCAUCCCCGCCCCCUACUCCGCUGACGACUGCGCGCGCUCCAUUGUUGUCGCCGCCGCCAGCUCCACUGCCGCCAAGGCGAUCUCGGCCUGCGCGCUGUCCGCUGACAAGAAGGCGCUGCUGGUCACGCUGGCCGCCGCCUACCAGCCUGGUGAGCUUUGAUCCUUGUGUAGGGGCGGAAGGGUGGGACGGCCCCAAAUAAACCGCAAUGGACGGGCAUGGGCGGAUAGUUGACCUAGCAAACCAGCCUUUCACUACCUGCCUACUACCUACUACAUACCUGCCUAAACAAACCACCAUUACCCGCCUCUGUCCCGCCGAACCCUAACGACAGGUGACACCGUGAACGUGCGCACCGGUCAGUGGCAGCUGCGCGCGGGCGCCUCCGUCACCCUGGGCCCCAACUACAUUGCCAGCGCAGCCCCCGCGCCCAUCCUGCCCGGCCUCUCCGCCGCCACCCUCACCAGCGCCACCCAGGUUGUGGUCACACUGCCCGCCGCCAGCAGCGUCCCCGCCACCUUCAGUGUCAGCGACUGCAACGCCGCCGUUGACCUGGUCAGUGCCGCCGGCGCGUCAAAGGACACUCCCUUCGCCGCCUGCGCGCUGGGCUCUGGCAAUGCCACCCUCAUCCUCAACCUGACCGCCAGUGCCUACGCCAUCGGCGACACCGUGAGCGUGAAGGCAUCUCAGACCACCCUCAAGGUGGGCAACACCAGCUACACACCCUACUCCGUGCCCAUCACGCCCGUCCUGCUGCCCACCACCACCGCCGUGCUGGUCAGCGAGACCUCCAUCUCCGUCACCCUGCCCACCGGCUUCAACAGCUACCUGCCUUCCACCGCAAACGCCUCGGACUGCAACGCGGCAUUCGUGCUCGUUUCGGCUACCGGCACCGCCAAGACCGCCCCCUACACCAGCUGCACUGUCUCAGGCACCACCCUGACCCUGGGCGUCGCCGCCGGUACCUACGCCGCCGGUGACUCGGUCAACGUCAAGACCGGCAACUCGCUGUUCCUGGGCGCCUCCUCGACUGGCCCCG